AGCGAACGCUGGCGGUAGGCCUAACACAUGCAAGUCGAACGGCAGCACAGUAAGAGCUUGCUCUUACGGGUGGCGAGUGGCGGACGGGUGACGAAUACAUCGGAAUCUACUUUUUCGUGGGGGAUAACGUAGGGAAACUUACGCUAAUACCGCAUACGACCUACGGGUGAAAGCAGGGGAUCUUCGGACCUUGCGCGAUUGAAUGAGCCGAUGUCGGAUUAGCUAGUUGGCGGGGUAAAGGCCCACCAAGGCGACGAUCCGUAGCUGGUCUGAGAGGAUGAUCAGCCACACUGGAACUGAGACACGGUCCAGAGUCCUACGGGAGGCAGCAGUGGGGAAUAUUGGACAAUGGGCGCAAGCCUGAUACAGCCAUACCGCGUGGGUGAAGAAGGCCUUCGGGUUGUAAAGCCCUUUUGUUGGGAAAGAAAAGCAGCAGGUUAAUACCACGCUGUUCUGACGGUACCCAAAGAAUAAGCACCGGCUAACUUCGUG
rnacentral:rRNA from 1 species